rnacentral:lncRNA from 1 species
UUGGAAUUAUUUGGGAUAAUUUGGGAUUAUUUGGGAUAAUUUGGGAUAAUUUGGGAUUCGGGGCCAGGCAGAGCCAGAGCUGCGUGUCCCUGUCCCUGUCCGUGUCCGUGUCCCUGUCCCUGUCCCUGUCCCUGUCCCUGCUCCGGGUGUCCUCUGGAUUUGGCUGGUUUGGAAUUCCCAGGAAUUCCUGGGAUCGGCCGCUCCGUGUCCAUCCGGCUCCUGAUGGGGACAUCCCGGUGUGGGGACAUCUGGGAAUGGGGACAUCCUGGAUUUGGGGACAUCCCGGAUUUGGGACAUCCUGGAAUUGGGACAUCUUGGAUUUGUGACAUCCUGGAUUUGGGACAUCCCAGAUUUGGGGACAUCUUGGAUUUGGGACAUCCUGGAUUUGGGAAUCCCAGAUUUGAGGACAUCCCAGAUUUGGGGACAUCCCAGAUUUGGGGACAUCCCGGAUUGGGGACAUCCCAGAUUUGGGGAUAUCCUGGAUUGGGGACAUCCCGGAUUUGGGACAUUCUGGAUUUGGGGACAUCCCAGAUUGGGGACAUCCCAGAUUUGGGACCUCCUGGGUCAGGGCAUUCCGGUGCUGAAGCAUCCCAUGGUCGGGGCAUUCCAGGAUUGGAUCAUUCCAAUGUCGGAGCAUCUGAUGGAAUGUUCUGGUGUCGGAACGUUCCGGUGCUGGAUCCCUCUGACCUCGGAGCAUCCCCAGGGUGGAACAUUCCGGAAUGGGAACAUCCUGCUGCUCCCGGUGCUGGAGCGUUCCCGUAUCCGAGCAGCCCCGCCUGGGAUUUUCCUGGUGUUGGAGCCUCCUGCUGUGGGAUCAUCCCAGGAUCAGAGCGUCCCCACGGCGGAACAUUCCGGAACAUUCUGGUAUCGGAGCUUCCUGGUGCCGGAGCCUCCUGGUCCCAGAGCGACCCAGUCCUGGAUCAGUGUUGGAUCAUCCCAGUCCUGGAUCAUCCCAGUUCUGGAUCAUCCCAGUGCUGGAUCAUCCCAGUCCUGGAUCAUCCCAGUGUUGGAUCAGUGUUGGAUCAUCCCA